UUGAACGCUGGCGGUAUGCUUUACACAUGCAAGUCGAACGGGCUAUGGGGCUUGCUCCAUAGUUAGUGGCGAACGGGUGAGUAAUAUAUCGGAACAUAUCCGGAAGUGGGGGAUAACGUAGCGAAAGUUACGCUAAUACCGCAUAUGCCCUGAGGGGGAAAGGGGGGGAUCGCAAGACCUCUCGCUUUCGGAGUGGCCGAUAUCGGAUUAGCUAGUAGGUGAGGUAAAGGCUCACCUAGGCGACGAUCCGUAGCUGGUCUGAGAGGACGACCAGCCACACUGGAACUGAGACACGGUCCAGACUCCUACGGGAGGCAGCAGUGGGGAAUUUUGGACAAUGGGCGAAAGCCUGAUCCAGCCAUACCGCGUGAGUGAAGAAGGCCUUCGGGUUGUAAAGCUCUUUCAGCCGGAAAGAAAUUGCUUCUAUUAAUACUAGGAGUAGAUGACGGUACCGGAAGAAGAAGCACCGGCUAACUACGU
rnacentral:rRNA from 1 species